UAGAAAACCUAAAAGUGACAAUUCAUCAACUUCACAGAAUAAUAAUUAUUUUUUGUCUCUCCAAUAAUAAGAGACAAAAAAAAAAAUGGUGACAAUUUUUUAUAAGCCUUAAGGAUGUUUUGACAUUGAUUUUUGAUAAAGAGUUUUGUUAAGUCACGCUUAGAGUAGUGUCAUUUGUAUAUUACAACAAAAAAAAAUCCCCCUGUGACACUCACCUUUUUUCCUCUGAGGAGUUUGCAGGUCUGUUAGUUAAUCAGUCUAUAAUGUUAAGUGAAUUGUGCUGUAGGCCAACAUUUACAGUACUUCCACUGCAAACUAGUGAAGACACAUGGACAGUAUAGUAGGCUAAAUAUUUGUAUUCUUUGUCACACAGGUGACACAGGUAGUGUGUACUCCCGUCGGUGCAAGCCUCAUGCGACCACUUAUAGCAAAAAUCACACUGGACCCACUCUUCCCCAGGCAUCGAGGCGCUGAAGGACUCGCAGUUGACGUCCUCGUUGGAUAGGCCUAUAUAAGUUGGAGAAGUAAAGGGUCAGGCAGCAAUAGUGGCGAACUUUACUGCAUCCAGAACAGGACAAAUUAGGCCUAAGUUGGGGGUGACUCCAUCAGCGGGCCCGGUGAUGGAGGGAGGAGCAGCUGAGGUGGCACCAGGGGUGACUCCAGCAAGGGGGGCGGCAUCAGGAGCGGGCGAGAAGAGCCUCUUCUUGGGAGCCCGAGAGGAGGGAGGCUGCUUGGCGGGACGACGCUGCUUCAGAGUUCGGGGUGUCUUAAGUAUAGCAGUUGUCCUGAAAACAUUAAAUUGGACAUUUUAAUGCUAAUUGGAUUACUUUAAAUGUGGCCCGGCCUUAGGGUAAGACCGGACGAUGUCCAGGCUGAAUUCAAGGGCAUCUUGCUCAGGCACGACAGCUUCGUCAGGCCCGGCAGCUCGUCCAGGUACAUCCAUGCCUGCCAAAGGACACAUUUAUAAAAUACACUUUUAAAUAAAAAAUUUGUAUACUCACCCUCCUGAUCCUUGUUAAAUACCCUGAUGUGAGAGUUGUAGCCUGGUGGUCUAGCAGCUUCUCUGCCAUCCACUAACCUAUGGACUUUUUUUAUGAACUUUGACUUAUGGGACUAUUUACUUAUGUAUUAUGAACUCUGUUGCUUCUGAUGAACUGUUCCUACCUGAAAUGGCACCUGGAGAAGCGCUGACCUCGUCACCUGAAGCCUGGGGAGGAGGACGGUCUGUGGAAUAGGUUCCGGAGAAGUCCUUUUCCUCAAACGCGGAGGGUUUAAAAGGUCAGAUCCCUUGACUAGAGAACCCGGAGGUGAUGUUCUCCACUGUUGCAGCCUCUGGUGGGACGGGUGAUUGUCCAGCAGCCGGAGCAGCUUCGACUCCUUGGACACAGGUGUGACUGGUGAAGUGGGCCAGGUACAGGAGGAAGUCUGGCUCCUUCCUCCAGCCAGUUGGGUUGGCGGUGCCAGCACAGCCAACGGGUCCACCCCUCAUGAAGUGGUCUUCGAACCGCCUACGGGGGAAGAUAAAGAAUGGCGGAACAACGUCGCCCUGCGCAUUGCCUGCCAGGGCAACUGUGACCAGGGUCCCCCUCUCCGCUGAGGUCACCGACCCGACCUGCUUCUGCCCCAUCUGGGCGACGACACGGUCUGGCACCUGGACAGUGGUGACCCCUGUAAAUAGUUGCGUGAGCAUAGUUGUGUAUAUAUAUAGUUAUGUGUACUGUGUAUAUAGUUGUUUUUAUGUGUAUAUAGUUGUUAGCAUAGUUUCUAUUUAGAUAUUUAGUUAUGUGUAUAUCGGUUUUUUUAGAGCUGUCAAGCGAUUAAAAUAUUUAAUCGUGAUUAAUCGCAUUAAUGUCAUAGUUAACUAAUUAAUCGCGAUUAAUCGCAAAUUAUUUUUCUAUGCUAAAUAUCCCUUGAUUUUUUUGUCACAUAAUCCUUCUCAUUUUAAUUCUCUUAUCAACAUGGUGAAGUGCAUCGGCUUGCCUUGUGCAAAUGAUUUUUUAUUGAUAACAACAUUGGCAUAUACACUGAUCAAAACAGGACGAUACAAAAAAAGAGCCUAUGGUGCAAUUAAACGACUGCUUUGAACAAAUGUCAUUUGAACAUAGCAGUCAGGCUACUGCUUCUUUGUUUUGAGCCAAAGAAAUUUUUUUUUUUUUUUUUUUUUUUUCUAUAAAAUAAUUGCGUUAAUCGCGAUAAAAAAAUAAACGCCGUUAAAUUUGGUUAGCGUUAACGGCGUUAAUAACGCGUUUAACUGACAGCUCUAGUUUUUUUCAUAUUUAUAUAGUUGUGAGCAUAGUUUAUUUUUUAUAAAUGUAGUUAUGUGUAUAUAGUUGUGUUUUAUAUUAAUACAGUUCAUAUUAAAUACCGGUUUCAUUAAUGUUCCAAAUAUCCUUGGCCUGGAACUGGUGCCGGUCCAUCACCGUCUUUCAAUUCUGGUAGAAUUAGUUGACAUUGUUUUGAUUGAAGCUGGACAACCGUUGUUGGCUAGUGGCCUCUGGACGCCGAUGGGGGAGGCUGCUACUGCGCUCCAUGAAGGAGGUGAACCAGUCCUUCCUCGACCAGGAUGCAGGGAAUGGGCAGCUGAAAUGCACGGGGUUGUAAAAAGUUGUGUGUGUUUAUGUUAUUUGUUCAUAUUUAUUAAUUAAAGUAUGUGCAUAGCAUACAUGUGUGCCUGUCCAAAAAUGUAUGUAGCCCUUUUCACAACACUGACCUCAUUUGGGGUGAGCCCAAUAUGAAUGGCUUCACUGCCCUCCUCUGCCCUCCCCUUGAGGUAGCGUGACAACGUGAACAUGAUGUUGUCCCAUGCAGGAACCAGCCCACGGGAGGUGGUUCUCCUUCUGACGCGUGGCAUUUUUCCUCUCAGUAAUCUGUUGAUGCA
ensembl:lncRNA